CAUUACGAUCAUACUACGUUGAAAACACCGCAACCCGUCUGAUCUGCAAAGCUAAGCAACGUUAGGCUAUGUUAGUACCAUGGUUGGAGACAACAUGGGAACAUUCGGUGUCGUAGGAU
rnacentral:rRNA from 1 species